GUGAAACCAGGUUAACUCGUCAAACUCGGGAUAUGUUUCAUGAAAUUAUGAUAACUAAAUAGAAAGAAAUUUAACAUUAACAAACUAAACUAAACGAAAAAAAAUUAAUUAAAAAGAAAAAAAGCAAAAAAAAAAUCCGGGUUAACUCGUCAAACCAAGUUAACCUGUUAAACCCGGGAUCCGUGCCAUGAAAGUCUGAUAACUAAAUUAAAAAAAUUAACACUAAC
rnacentral:lncRNA from 1 species